CAGAAAGUGAGCAGGUUUUGCGCUUGUUUUGGGAACAAGAGGUCGCUGGUUCGAACCCAGUCACCCCGACCA
rnacentral:tRNA from 1 species